UACGUAGGGUCCGAGCGUUGUCCGGAAUUACUGGGCGUAAAGAGCUCGUAGGUGGUUUGUCACGUUGUUCGUGAAAACUCACAGCUCAACUGUGGGCGUGCGGGCGAUACGGGCAGACUGGAGUUCGGUAGGGGAGACUGGAAUUCCUGGUGUAGCGGUGAAAUGCGCAGAUAUCAGGAGGAACACCGGUGGCGAAGGCGGGUCUCUGGGCCGAUACUGACGCUGAGGAGCGAAAGCGUGGGGAGCAAACAGG
rnacentral:rRNA from 1 species